rnacentral:sRNA from 1 species
AGGAGAUAGGGGUAACGUAGUAAGAUAUAUAUAAGCGUCUGUGUGUUCAACUAUAUCUUAGGCUAAGAUUAGCGAAGAUUUAUAUCUUAAGAAAUAUCUAAGUUAUAUCUUAGCUAAUAAAUUGAUUAAAUUUAAUAAAAGCAGCUAAGAUUAGCUAAGAUUUAUAUCUUAACUAAGAUAUUUUCUUAAGUUUAAGAAGUAAACAGGUGUUGUGUAUUUAUUGGGUACACAAAUAAACAAAAUGAAGGAAAAAAAAACCAUUGGAGCAUAAAUAAUUUAAAUUUUUUCCCUUAAGAACUUCUUACUUCUAACCAUUGGAGCAUAAUAAGUUAAGAUAUUCUCUAACAUAUCUUAACUUUGAAAAAGCAAAAUUUUAAGU